AACGGCCGUACCAUGCUCAAUAUACCGGUUCUCGUUGGAUCACCGAGAUUCAAAUCAUUGGGCGCGGUCAGUACUUGGGAGGGUGACCACCUAGGAACACUGCGUGCCGUU
rnacentral:rRNA from 1 species